GAACGCUGGCGGCGUGCUUAACACAUGCAAGUCGAACGGAAAGGCCCUGCUCUUGUGGGGUGCUCGAGUGGCGAACGGGUGAGUAACACGUGAGUAACCUGCCCUUGACUUUGGGAUAACUUCAGGAAACUGGGGCUAAUACCGGACAGGAGCCCCUGCUGCAUGGUGGGGGUUGGAAAGUCUCGGCGGUUGGGGAGGGACUCGCGGCUUAUCAGCCUGUUGGUGGGGUAGUGGCUUACCAAGGCGUUGACGGGUAGCCGGCCUGAGAGGGAGACCGGCCACAUUGGGACUGAGCUACGGCCCAGACUCCUACGGGAAGCAGCAGUGGGGAAUAUUGCACAAUGGGCUGAAGCCGGAUGCAGCAACGCCGCGUGCGGGAUGACGGCCUUCGGGUUGUAAACCGCUUUCGCCUGUGACGAAGCGUGAGUGACGGUAAUGGGUAAAGAAGCACCGGCUAACUACGUG
rnacentral:rRNA from 1 species